CCUACGGGAGGCAGCAGUGAGGAAUAUUGGUCAAUGGGCGCGAGCCUGAACCAGCCAAGUAGCGUGCAGGAUGACUGCCCUACGGGUUGUAAACUUCUUUUAUAAAGGAAUAAAGUGAGGCACGUGUGCCUUUUUGUAUGUACUUUAUGAAUAAGGAUCGGCUACCUCCGUGCCAGCAGCCGCGGUAAUACGGAGGAUCCGAGCGUUAUCCGGAUUUAUUGGGUUUAAAGGGAGCGUAGAUGGGUUGUUAAGUCAGUUGUAAAAGUUUGCGGCUCAACCGUAGAAUUGCAAUUUAUACUGGCAGCCUUGAGUACAGUUGAGGUAGGAGGAAUGCGUGGUGUAGCGGUGAAAUGCUUAGAUAUCACGAAGAACUCCGAUUGCGAAGGCAGCUUACUAAGCUGCCACUGACAUUGAUGCUCGAAAGUGUGGGUAUCAAACGGGAUUAGAUACCCCGGUAGUC
rnacentral:rRNA from 1 species